ACACUCAGAGAGAGAGAGAGAGAGAGAGAGAGAGAGAGGUGUCGGCGUGCCUAUAUUUGCGUAUCCAACCCUUCCCUCAUUCGCCCCCCUUCCUCCGUCUCUCUCUCUCUCUCUCUCUCCCUCUCUCCGUAUCUAAAUGU
rnacentral:miRNA from 1 species